rnacentral:lncRNA from 1 species
CCAGAGAAGUCACAGCCUCUGAUGGCUUCAAAAUCCAAGACCAAGAAACCAAAUUUCUCGAACUAAACAAUCAGUUAGACCACAAGACGCGCUUCCAUAGUUAAAUUCUAGAUAACAUGAACAUAACAACAAUCUGAAAAAUAAAGAGAUUAAAUCAAGCGUGAGUGAUAUACACACAAAAAUCAAAACUUUAUGCAAUUAACUAAUAGAGAAUCAUCUAAAGCUAAGAAAAUAAAAAGUAACGGAAACAAAUGUUGGUGUGUCUUCUUUUUACAAGGCAAUUAAUAUUUCUUUACAAAGCAUUCAUUGUUUUAGUGUGUAUACAAAAACAAUCUAACAAUCAUCCGAGAU